rnacentral:miRNA from 1 species
ACGUCAUCAUUGAGUAAACUUUGACCCGGAAACUCAGUCAGCAGACACUUCCUGGGAGGGAGGGUCUGCUGCUGAUUGGGUGGAAUGUGUCUGCUGGCUGUGAGGUUCCGGGUCAAAGUUUACUCAAUGAUGACGU